rnacentral:rRNA from 1 species
AUGCAAGUCGAACGAGAAACUUUAGCUCGCCAGAGAAAGUAAAGUGGCGCACGGGUGAGUAACGCGUGGGUAAUCUGCCUCCGAAUCGGGGAUAACAUUGCGAAAGCGAUGCUAAUACCGGAUAAAAUCUGGUUGGCUUCGGUGAACCGGAUCAAAGGUGGUCUCUUUAUAAAAGCUACCGUUUGGGGAUGAGCUCGCGUUACCAUUAGCUAGUUGGUGAGGUAAAAGGCUCACCAAGGCGACGAUGGUUAGCUGGUCUGAGAGGAUGAUCAGCCACACCGGAACUGGAACACGGUCCGGACUCCUACGGGAGGCAGCAGUGAGGAAUUUUGCGCAAUGGGGGAAACCCUGACGCAGCAACGCCGCGUGAGUGAUGAAGGCUUUCGGGUCGUAAAGCUCUGUCAGGUGGGAAGAACCCACCAAGUGUUAAGACCACUUGGUGCUGACGGUACCACCGAAGGAAGCACCGGCUAACUCCGUGCCAGCAGCCGCGGUAAUACGGGGGGUGCGAGCGUUAUUCGGAAUCAUUGGGCGUAAAGGGCGCGCAGGCGGUCCUGUAAGUCAGAUGUGAAAUCCCGGGGCUU